CUAGUAACUGCGAGUGAAGCGGGAAAAGCUCAAAUUUAAAAUCUGGCAGUCUUUGACUGUCCGAAUUGUAUUCUGGAGAAGCGUUUUCCGCGCUGGACCGUGUACAAGUCUCUUGGAAUAGAGCGUCAUAGAGGGUGAGAAUCCCGUCUUUGACACGGACUACCAGUGCUUUGUGAUGCGCUCUCAAAGAGUCGAGUUGUUUGGGAAUGCAGCUCAAAAUGGGUGGUGAAUUCCAUCUAAAGCUAAAUAUUGGCGAGAGACCGAUAGCGAACAAGUACCGUGAGGGAAAGAUGAAAAGCACUUUGGAAAGAGAGUUAAACAGUACGUGAAAUUGCUGAAAGGGAAACGCUUGAAGUCAGUCGCGUCAUCCGGAACUCAGCCAGGCUUCUGCCUGGUGUACUUUCUGGAUGACGGGCCAGCAUCAGUUUUGACCGCUGGAAAAAGGCCAUGGGAAUGUGGCACCUUCGGGUGUGUUAUAGCCUGUGGUCAUAUACAGCGGUUGGGACUGAGGACCGCAGCACGCCUUUAUGGUUGGGGUUUGCCCACAAUCGUGCUUAGGAUGCCGGCGUAAUGGCUUCAAACGACCCGUCUUGAAACACGGACCAAGGAGUCUAACAUGCCUGCGAGUGUUUGGGUGGAAAACCCGAGCGCGCAAUGAAAGUGAAAGUUGGGAUCCCUGUCGUGGGGAGCACCGACGCCCGGACCAGACCUUUUGUGACGGAUCCGCGGUAGAGCAUGUGUGUUGGGACCCGAAAGAUGGUGAACUAUGCCUGAAUAGGGUGAAGCCAGAGGAAACUCUGGUGGAGGCUCGUAGCGAUUCUGACGUGCAAAUCGAUCGUCAAAUUUGG
rnacentral:rRNA from 1 species